CCUAGAUCGUUCCCUGUCCCCAGCAUCCCUUAUUCCUCUCGAGCCUAUAGGCCCCCUCGCCGGCCGCCUCCCCUCGACCUACCCUGCAUCCCGGAGCGCGCCCCUCACCGCUCGCCUGAGAUCCUCCGUCCCGGCACGCCGCCCCUCACCAGUCACCACUCUCCUGCGACCCUCCAUCCCGGCGCACCGUCCCUCGUCACCACUCCCCUGAUACCCUGCAUCCCGGCGCGCCGCCCCUCGUCAUCGCUCGCCUGCGACCAACUGCGUCUACUACCUCCGCACGGGGGCCUGCGGCUAUGGGAAGAGCUGCAGCUACAACCACCCUCGCGAUCGCGCCGCCGCGGUGAGCCGGGCCGCUUCUCUUGUCCCAAUUUUGUUGCCCCCAUCAUGCUCUGCUUCACUUCAAUCUAGUUGGGGAUUGGUACUUACGACUUGCCAAUCCCUGAUAAUGAACGACAGACUGAAUUACAGCUGGUUGGUGUGGAGGGGAGCUUCCAGCUAAAGCCUCUUUCUGUGAUUGAAUUGAUUCUAGUUGUGGCUUAGGAGCUUGUCACCAGUCCAUGGAAGUGAACUUGAUUGUGCAGUCGUUGGUUCCUGUUGUUGAUUAUGUGAUUGACUGAUUGUAUAAUAGGGCUUGUUGUCUUAUUCUCGUGGUUGAUGUUGAUUAUUCAAAGUUCCACUUUCUGCUUACGGUGCCACUUGCUUAUGUUGUAGGCCUGAUCAUUCACACCGUCAUAUGGUCAUAUUUGUUUCCGAGACUUCAGAGCAGGUUACAAUAUCAAUUUUCUCUACUAAGUAAUAAUUACCUCCACUCGGUGCAGAGAAAUGCAAUGGCACUCAAGCACUGAAUAUGUUGCAAUGGACAUGACCCCAAAACUUUCUCCCUCUCUUUUAUUUGAGUCACAAUUCAGUAUUUUUUUUUACAUAUUUCAUUCGCUUAAAAGACCAUUUAGAUCUUUGUGUUCUCUGCUACUACAAACUGAGGAGCAACUUGACAGCUUUAUGCAGCUCGGUCAACUAGGCCGCUGGGACGCUGGGGGAGAAGGACAUCGGUGCAGAGCAUGGCAAAGCCGAGUACUUGUUGGAUCUGAGGGCUUCUGAUCCACAGUUCUCCGCAUGAUCAUCCAUCAGCAUCUAGUGACAUUAACACUCAGCCGCAUAAGGCUUUCUCCCCACUAUAGUUGGAGUUCAAGAGCGUAAGGAAGGUAAUCUGUUGAUCAAUUACUGUUGCUUGUCACAAAACUCUGAAAAAUAUUACUGAGUACAUCUACAACGAGCUAUGCUUGCCAUUUAAAAAUAUGCUUAUGUGAGCUGUGUGUCAUAUCAAUUUUUUUAUGCAAGAAGAUCUUGCGAUUUACUUAUGAUUUAUGAACAGAAAUUGUUUACUGCGUAACCCCUAAAUACAGUAGAAGAGAAACAAAUCUUAUAAAACUAUGCUGAGACGAGUAGUACUUAUUUAGUCAAGUGACAUGUUAGAUAAAAUUCCACACCUAUUACAACUUAUCUGACUUCUGUAUUUUUUAAUGAUAGCUGAACUAGAUUGUGUUCCAGGAAUACAAAAUCAUGGAUGUUUUCCAUUUAUUCACUUGGCUAUUGGAAUUUGGUUGAUGUCCCCUUCUCCUAUUAUUAACAACAUAUACCUACACGGUUCUGUCUGCUGGUUUGCCAAAUUCUAGACACUUCUUUUGUGGUUCGUGCUUCCGCUUUAUACCAUGCUUGCCUACAUCCGUAGUGUCACUCCUUUAUUCUCUUGAUGUGCUUUUCCUUUACAAGGAAGAAUACACACCAUGAGGAAAAGAGAAGUAAAAUUGUAGCAUAUGGCAACUUUAUAAAUACUAACAUGUUUCUGAUUCAUCAUGAGGUCAUGUACUGAUGGAUUGCAAAAAGAAAAAGAAAAAUAAUGUCAAUUGUUUCUAUAUCACUUUAAUUGGCAUGGUCCAUCUGUAGUGUCGUGCAAUUAUUAGACCACAUUCAAUAUUAUUUUUUGGAUGCCUGCAACUUCCAACUAAAUAGAUCGCUGUAUCUAUAUCUGAUUUGUAUUUGUAGUCUACAAACAAGACAUCCUAAUUAUUUGUUCGAACAUACUACAGUCUUGUUUUCUCUGCCGUGUCUUCUCCUUUUCUUAAUAGUGUCACUGCCUUUGAUUUAUCUGCUCAGAUGUGCUAUUUAGAGUUUGAUCUGGAUAUAUACUAGCUAUUUUAUUAGGAGUUGGUGGUAAAGAUGAACUAAUGGUUGAUCCGCCCUGCUGUCCAUGCUGCACUUCAUGCAAAAUCAUUGGGUCGGUACUGGGAGUACUUCAUUUAUGAUAGAUCUUAUGCUUCAAAGCUUCUUUUUAUUGUCUAAUAUGUUUUAUUUGCACUAAUUUGGUAAAUUUAUUUUAUCUUUUGGCUUAAUAUGUCCCAGGUAUUGAUAUAGUAAUAUUUUUUUACUUGGUUAAUGGCCAAACAUACUGCUUCAGUAUCUUCCGGUAGGUGCCUCAGAAUUAUGCAGUUGAUCAUACCAUACUGCUACUUGAAUAAAAAUGUCUAUCUUUGUGUUCUACACUGAAGCUAUCAUAUGAAGUUUAAUUAUUUUCAGCGUCCAUCACCAAAACUACUUUGUUUGUAGUGAAAGGCUUCAUAGAAUUUCAUAGAUGUUGCACAUCAUGAGAUUAACCUGUAGAUGUAUUCAUAACCAUAUAGUAGAGGGGAAGAUGCAAACACGACAUGUCUUGGCCUCUCAACCUUUUCUGUUAUAUGUCACGUUUCUAUUAAUUAUUUUGCUUGACAUGAUUCUUUCAAUGGUAACUUUGAUUUUCUCUAACAGGUAGGAACAAAAGUAUUUUUAAUGAGCCUAAAAAAUCGUAACACAUGUAGCUCUUGCUACAGUUGUAAGUUGUGAUCCUAAAUUUGAACUUGAUGGUGCUGAAAUUACUAAUGAAUUCUGGGUAGUGCAUGUUGAUAUGGCACUUGUGAGAACUGAAGAUUCGGUACGGAGUCGCAAAAACUGCAAUACUCUUGGUAAUGCAGAUUUGUUUUUGCAUCUCAACCUUUGUAAAUUCAAAAGAUAAAUGGAUGAUUCUAUUGGUGUGUGUGGCAAGUAUACUACAAGGAUGAUGAUGAUGAUGUUCCUGUUCAUGAUGAUGAAGACGGAUGGUUUCAGUUUUAAUUAAGUUGUAGGGAUGAUGUUCCUCGAUUGUGUUUUAGUUACGUUGUAGGGAUGUUUAUGGAUGCUUUCAAUUUAAGUUUCGCCGUCAAGAAACAUUUAGAUUAUACUUCCCAUUUGGAUGAUUUUUCUUGUGUAAUAUGCAGUAUUGUAAUCCAACAGUUUUAUUUAAUAUAUGAUUUCUUCCUCCCGUGA